rnacentral:lncRNA from 1 species
GUAGCUAUAGGCAUUGAUCUUUCUUUUUCUCUGAUAAAAAAAAUCAUAUUAAUAUGACAUCCUGCAGCUCUUUGAUGUUUACAUAGUAUCAGUACAGGGAAAUACUACUUUCAGUUUGAUACAUAAAGCCCUCCUUGUCUCUUGUGUCUUUUGUCUGUAGGCUAUUAUGCAUGUGACUAAAGCCAUGCAUGACUUAAGCAAAUGUUUGAAUAGGGUUCUUGUGUAGUAGGACUGUAUAAGCCAUUAGGCAUACUCUCUUUAACUUGGUGAUGAAAACAUUAUGGUACAUUUGGUCACACAAAGUAGAGUAAAAUUGCUUUUGUGGCAGCAGAAUAAACAGCGUUCUAAUCUGUGGGGGUUUUUUCUUGUGCACGUGUGUGUGCGCUGCAUACUUUCGGCAAAAUUAUCAAGCAGGACUGAACAUGAAAAGUGUUAAAGUUAUUGGAGUUGUGAAGUGAAAGCUGGGCCGAAGAGAGAAAAAAAGUAUUGCUUUUUUCAUUCUGAAAUUUAAAAUCAACAUUAUUCUGUCAUAUUUGUGAUCUGAGCUUGAAAUCUGUUAAUUGACAUGUGAGGCAGUUGCUAACCAUCUCUGUCAUUUAUAAAGCCCUUUGUAAGGGUGCUGUUUUUCUUUCUUCUCUAUAUGUGGUGAAUACUGGAGUAGAGACUUGAAUUUUUGCUGUGGGAAUGUGAAAAACACUGGAAGCUGCUCUCUGCCAAGUUAUUUCCCCAAGGAUCUGCUUUACAUUCUGACAAUCAAUGACCUGUCAGGUGUAGUUAUGCACCAUAGCAGUGAUAUGAGGUCAAUCAGAUGAAAGCAAGAUAUUUUGAAAUCAUCUGUUGAUUUUUCUGUGCUGCAAGACCAGCAUGUGAAUCAUGUCAGCAACUAUACUCCAUGUUUCAAAAACAUGUAAAAAUGUUACAGUUCUUCAAACAGAAGAAGCAGACAUCAGAUCCAGAGUGGAGUGCUGGACAAAGAACACAAAGCAGCGAGGAAGUACCGGAUCCAGCUGCCUUUCUCCUUCCUGCUGCCCCAGAGCCUUUCUGUUCUGGCAGUUGGGUUGCUCCAAACCAGCUGGCAGGGAAAAGCAUCCAUGUGCCAGCCGGGCAGAGCGGCAGAGGGGAGGUGGAGGCUGGAGCCAGCCCCUCUCCAGGGGAGCAGUUUCUGGGCAAGCUGCAGGCUGCCCUCAGUGCACCUGCCUGCAGUGAGGGUCGCAAGGCUGCGCUGCUGGGGAGACCCUCCCUGCAGGAGGGCACAAAGUGCUGGGGGCCACUUCCUCAGCUGCUGCUCUGCUCCAGUGGGACAGCGAAACAUGGUCCUGCUUUCAUCAGGUGAGCAACUGAGCCUGAAGGAUAAUUAAGUGAUUUUAUCCCUGAUCCAAUUUAUCAGAGGGUGAAAUGAGCCUCUCCCCCCAGACGAACAUAAUGCCAAGACCAACUACUCACCUCUCCAGAGAUUAAGCGCCUCCUGGAGCCUUUCCCUCUACUCCCUGAACUGCUCAGUGCCCUGUGUCCUGCAGCUUCAUGCUGCUCCACCUUUUCCCUCCCCCAAACCCUGGUGGAGUGGGGUUGUGCUGGCUGCCCACCUCCCUGCAGAAGACACUGCACGCUGCCUCCCUGAGCGGUCUUGUCCAGGUGCCAUAGCCCAAAUGACAGCUUGUGGGGCCACUGGGGUAAAAUGCUGCCCAUCCGGCCUAUCAAGGCGCCUUAUUUGACCCAUUUGGUCCUGAAUGGGGAAUAAAUGUUCAUUGAAACGACA